CGGGAUUGAAGCUUGCUUCAAUUGCCGGCGACCGGCGCACGGGUGAGUAACGCGUAUCCAACCUUCCGUACACUCAGGGAUAGCCUUUCGAAAGAAAGAUUAAUACCUGAUGGUAUGAUGAGAUUGCAUGAUAGCAUCAUUAAAGAUUUAUCGGUGUACGAUGGGGAUGCGUUCCAUUAGGUAGUAGGCGGGGUAACGGCCCACCUAGCCAACGAUGGAUAGGGGUUCUGAGAGGUUGAACGGCCACACUGGAACUGAGACACGGCCCAAACUCC
rnacentral:rRNA from 1 species